UACAGAGGGGGCAAGCGUUAUUCGGAAUUAUUGGGCGUAAAGGGCGCGUAGGCGGCUUGGCAAGUGGAAGGUGAAAUCCCUCGGCUUAACCGAGGAACUGCCCUCCAAACUGCUUGGCUUGAGACCGGGAGAGGUGAGUGGAAUUCCCAGUGUAGCGGUGAAAUGCGUAGAUAUUGGGAGGAACACCAGUGGCGAAGGCGGCUCACUGGACCGGAACUGACGCUGAGGCGCGAAAGCGUGGGGAGCGAACAGG
rnacentral:rRNA from 1 species